UACGAAGGGGGCUAGCGUUGCUCGGAAUCACUGGGCGUAAAGCGCACGUCGGCGGACUCUUAAGUCGGUGGUGAAAUCCUGGAGCUCAACUCCAGAACUGCCUUCGAUACUGGGAGUCUCGAGUUCGGGAGAGGUGAGUGGAACUGCGAGUGUAGAGGUGAAAUUCGUAGAUAUUCGCAAGAACACCAGUGGCGAAGGCGGCUCACUGGCCCGAUACUGACGCUGAGGUGCGAAAGCGUGGGGAGCAAACAGG
rnacentral:rRNA from 1 species